rnacentral:rRNA from 1 species
UACGUAGGGUGCAAGCGUUAAUCGGAAUUACUGGGCGUAAAGCGUGCGCAGGCGGUGAUGUAAGACAGUUGUGAAAUCCCCGGACUCAACCUGGGAACUGCAUCUGUGACUGCAUCGCUGGAGUGCGGCAGAGGGGGAUGGAAUUCCGCGUGUAGCAGUGAAAUGCGUAGAUAUGCGGAGGAACACCGAUGGCGAAGGCAAUCCCCUGGGCCUGCACUGACGCUCAUGCACGAAAGCGUGGGGAGCAAACAGG